rnacentral:rRNA from 1 species
CCCUUAGAUGUUCGGGGCCGCACGCGCGCUACACUGAAGGAAUCAGCACGUCUUUCUCCUUGUCCGAAAGGACUGGGUAACCCGCUGAACCUCCUUCGUGCUAGGGAUUGGGGCUUGUAAUUCUUCCCCAUGAACGAGGAAUUCCCAGUAAGCGCGAGUCAUAAGCUCGCGUUGAUUACGUCCCUGCCCUUUGUACACACCGCCCGUCGCUACUACCGAUUGGAUGGUUUAGUGAGGCCUUCGGAUCCGCGACUCGUUUGUGGAGAAGUUGGACAAACUCAGUCAUUUAGAGGAAGUAAAAGUCGUAACA